rnacentral:lncRNA from 1 species
GAACCAGUUAGGCUAUUGCUCAGUAUCUGGUCUCCGAUUGCUCGUGUCUAUUGUGGAAACGACGCCGUAUUGAUGAUAAAAAUAUCACGUAAUAGAAAUCAUCUACUCUCUUUCUCCAGACACUUUCAUAAUCAUUUCCUCGUGUUAACUCUCUCUCCGGCUUUGUUUCUCGUUCUAUAGUACGUCCUCCUCUUGUUUUUCUCUGCUUUUUCCUUAUUUAGCUGGAUUCACUAGAGAAACUUCGAAUUUUGUUACAGUUUUGCACUUUUUGUGGAUUUUUUCUUCGUUUGUUCAGUUUUACUUAAAUUAUUUUUCUUCUUUGCUGUCUGAUAUGUGAAAAAUCUAUUCGAUUACUUUUGAGUGACUUUGAUCUACUUCAGAAGCUAAAUGUUUUCUUUUUCGUCGAUUUUUGUUCUGUUCGAGUCUAUUCCAGUUUUGUGUCUCGAUUUUACAGUACCGUUGUUCAUAUUUUCAAUUGAUUCUUCUUUAGAUUAGCUCGACCUAGCUAAGAAAAUUCAAAUUUUGCUACAUUUUUCCUUCUUUGUGGAUUUCUUUGUCUGUUUCUUCAGUUUCAUUUAAGGCCUUGUAUCUUCUUUUUGUUUGAUAUGCGAAAAUUUUGUUGGGUUAUUCUUCAUUCACCUUGAUUUACUUCAGAAGCUUUUAUUUUUGCUCAAUGUGUGUUUCUCUGCUCGAUUUCUGCUUCUAAUGUUUCACAAGGAGUACAAUUGGUUCUUGUCAGUAUUUUCGGAGAUUUUUUGGCUCAGUUGGGAUGUCUUAUACUCCCGUUGGCAUUUGUACUUUUGGCUUUCAACAUUUUAUCUUUAUCUAGUUAAGAAGCUCAAUUUUUUUCUCAAUCUUUGCUCUACUGUGUAUUUCUUUUUCUUUUUUUCUGUAGUUUUAGUUUAGGUAUGUUGUUAUCUUUAUACUUCUGUUGCCUUUUCUUACUAUAAAUUAUUCUCCACUUAAUUAUGCACAAGCUCAAUUGAUUCCAAUAAAUAAGGUUUAGAGUCUUCAAAGCGGUAAUGUAAAUCAUUAUUUUUUUUCUUUAACAUGGCUAUGUAUCCACGUUCAACUGUAAUUUGCAAUCCACUGCCCAGAACCUAUAAAAGUUUACUCGCUGGCUAGCCGACCAUACCCACAUCCGCCUUUCAAUUUGGAAUAGAUCUCUCCCAAUCUAGCUUCUUUACUUUGCAAAUGGAACUUUAGGAUAUUCUUUAUUGGAUGAGUGACUUCUUUUAAAGGAUUCAGAUUAAUUGAAAAUUUGAUUUCAGUAGCUUAUAUUAUUUAGUUGGCCAACAUUUUUCUUCAUUUGUCAUGUUAACUCAUAACCAACUUAUGUUCGAUUGGAUGUAUAAUUUAUAGGGUUUAUAUUAUGAUGCAUUUUACGGACAUCUUCGAUUCAGUGAGGAUCAUUUUCACCAAAUUGAAGCAGCAGUAAAAAACUGAUAGACGUAUGAUUAUUUUUAUUCUCUAAAUUUUGCUUUUAAGAUAUUUUAGUGAUGGCUCUCGGUUUAGUUCUAAUUAACAUAUUGUUGCUGUGAUUAUGUUGUUUAAAACCAGCAACAAUUAAAAAAAAAAAAAAAAUUUGGUCGCCAUGCAGUCGCAUGGCCAUAUGUCGAGACCUUGGGUGAACCAUGCGACCGCAUGGUAAUGGUUUUGUACCAUGCGGUCACAUGAUAUAAUUUUUUGGUCGUUGGAAGUUGCUUUCUCCCGCUGUAAAUUUAAAUUUGGUGACUUUAGGCUUAUAGUUUGGUACCAUUUCGUGAAUGUGGUGUAUGCCUAUAUAUAUAUUGGAUCCAUGUUGAAGGUAAAAACAUCACAAAAACAUCAAUGUUUCAUAUUACUUCCAAAAUCAAAAAUCAAAGUCUUUUAAAAAUCAUAUUCAUAUUCAUCCCUUGUGUUCUUCAAGUUCUCUAGGAUUUGCAAUUGUGUUUUGGUGUUUCAAUUCUUACAAGGCUUGUUAUAAUCCUACAAAUCAUUUGUCAACAACCUUCGAAGCAUCUCAAAUUCAUAGGAGAAGUGUCAAAUAUCGUUUGAGGACAACGAUCUUGUGUUCAAGCCAUUCAUUAAUACAAAUUCGUCAUUGUCUAGUUCUUGUCAUUGCCGGUUCAUGUUUUGUGACUUCUAUUUCAACCCGGUAAAAUUCUCCAACAAUCUCAAACAAUAUUUGUGCAAUGAAAAGUGAGACAACGUUGGCGACAAUCAAACUCAUAAAUCAAGACUUGGUGUAGUUAGAUCGGUUCGACAGAACAAACUAUACUCGAUGGAAAGAUAAAUUAAAGUUUCUUCUUACUGUACUAAAGAUCUUCUACAUCCUCGAUCCGAAAUUGGCGCCACUACCGGAACCAACAAAAGGAGAGACCGAAGCGGUGAGAAAUGAAAGACAAAAGCGCCAAGAAGACGAGUUGAUAUGCCGCGGUCACAUUCUCAACGCAUUAUCGGAUUGUUUGUAUGACUUAUAUACAAACACAAUUUCGGCAAAGAAAAUUUGGGAUGCGCUCUAAAGUAAGUAAAAAGCGGAAGAAGACCGUACAAAUAAAUUUUUAAUUUAUAAAUACUUCAACUUUAAAUUUUUAGAGAGUAGUUCCUUUCUUCCCCAAAUACAUGAAACGCAAAUAAUUGUCAAUAAGUUGAAGGCGGUGAAAAUUGAAAUACUAGAGACUUUUCAAGUGGGGGCUAUAAUUGCCAAACUUCUCGGAACUUGGAAAGGAUACCGGAAGAAGAUAAUGCAUAGUUCCGAAAAUUAUUCCUUGGAACAAUUGCAAAAACAUCUUCGGAUUGAGGAAGGGUCGAGAAUGUGUGAUAAAAGUGAUUCUCAUGAGGGCACUUCCAAAGUAAAUGCUGUAGAAAAAUUCGAACCGCCAACAAAAUUCAACAAAAGGUUCGGAUGCUUUGUUUGUGGGAAAUCUAGACACUACGCAAAAUAUUGUAGACACCAAAAACACAACUCCGAGAGCAAAGUGAAUUCCAUCCAACAAGACAAAAUUGUGGCUACCGUGAGUGAAAUAAAUGCAAUUAAGGGAAAGGAUCCCGACUGGUGGUAUGAUACUUGUGUCACGGUGCAUGUAUCAUAUGACAAAUUUUUGUUCAAAACAUACAAUGAAGUGGAUGGAGACCAAGAGAUCCAAAUGGGUAACGAGGUGCGGUCCAAAGUAAUUGGAAAAGGAAGUGUAGAAAUCAUCUUCACUUUUGGAAAAAUGUUACUCUCACAAAUGUACUACAUGUUCCGGAUAUGAAUAGGAACUUAGUGAGUGGAAAUCUUUUGGAAAAAUCGGGCAUUAAAAGUGUCUUUGAGUCCGAUAAACUUGUAUUAUCAUUUAAAGAAAAAUUUGUUGGAAAGGGCUAUUCAUGUAAAGGAAUGGUCAAAUUUUGUACUAUUGACAAUGAAAUAAAUAAUGUUAAUUUUGCUUACAUGA